rnacentral:rRNA from 1 species
AAACGUUUGACACCAGCUAUGCAGGCGGAAAAUCAGUCAACUGCAGUGAGGGGUUGUGUGGGUCUGGACCGCAAGGCCGGCCUUUACCUCAUCUUUGCUGUGGGUGAUGCACUUUUUCGUCCGCAGGUCAACAUCAGUUUCGCCCGCUGGACAAAACUCCGAGAGAAGGUAGCAGCUUAGGCUGUGUUAUAGCUCUGGAGCGAUACAGUGGGUGGGACUGAGGAUUCGCAGUGUGCGCUCUCGGGCAAGGCUGACUGGGUGCUCUGGGGUUGUUUGGCGUACAAUGCAUGCAUUUUGCGCCUUGUCUUCCUCAUACUCGCUCAAUUCGGCUCUUCCACGCUUAGGAUGUUGACUUAAUGGUUUUAAACGA